rnacentral:rRNA from 1 species
CGUGUAGGCGGUUUUAUAAGUCUGAUGUGAAAGCCCCGGGCUCAACCUGGGAAGUGCAUUGGAAACUGUAAGACUUGAGUACGGGAGAGGAGAGUGGAAUUCCCAGUGUAGGAGUGAAAUCCGUAGAUAUUGGGAGGAACACCGGUGGCGAAGGCGGCUCUCUGGACCGAUACUGACGCUGAGACGCGAAAGCGUGGGUAGCAAACA